UACGUAGGGUGCAAGCGUUAAUCGGAAUUACUGGGCGUAAAGCGUGCGCAGGCGGUGAUGUAAGACAGAUGUGAAAUCCCCCGGGCUCAACCUGGGAACUGCAUUUGUGACUGCAUCGCUGGAGUGCGGCAGAGGGGGGAUGGAAUUCCGCGUGUAGCAGUGAAAUGCGUAGAUAUGCGGAGGAACACCGAUGGCGAAGGCAAUCCCU
rnacentral:rRNA from 1 species